AAGACUAUAGACCUGCGGAGUACCUGCGGAGGGAUCAUUACAGAGUUGCAAAACUCCCAAACCAUUGUGAACGUUACCUUCUCGUUGCUUCGGCGGGCGGCCCGGGUCCUUCCCGGCGCCCCCCGGCCCCUCGCGGGCGCCCGCCGGAGGUAAACCAAACUCUUGAAUUGUAUGGCCUCUCUGAGUCUUCUGUACUGAAUAAGUCAAAACUUUCAGCAAUGGAUCUCUAGAUCGGAAGAG
rnacentral:misc_RNA from 1 species